ACCAUUUUGGUUGCUAGAUGUGUGAGGCGUUCUCACUAUAGGGUCAUUUUGAUUCGUAAAAAGUAAAUACCGGAUAUAACAAUACAAGAUAAAUAUUUAAGUUAUUGAACAAAUUUUUAUUUACAUGUUUUAAAUACCCUGUGCAAGGGACAAAAAGUUGUCCUCUGAUUUAGUGAGGGAAAAAUUUCAGUUUUUUCCGGUCUCUUGUCCCCCAAUUUGUCUAGUCUUAAGAAUGGUUUUAAGAUCAAAACAGUACAAUUAAAGUUGUCCUGUUCAAUCCCUUAUAUUUUAGUAGAUCAAACGCAAAUCUUUUUUUUGUGGAUAAACAACCAUUUUGGUGGUCUUUGAAUGUGAGAUGUUGUUACUAUAGUAUCUGAGUAUAUUGAAAUUACAAAUAAAUCUCUAAGUGUCUCUUUUGUUAGUAAUUUUAUUUAUGAACUAAAUUGACCAACAAAAAUACAUUCGAGUACUAAACUAACUAACUAAAGAUGAGAAUGGAUUCUCUCAAGUGUGAUUUACACUUGAGAGAAUAAAGUGUAAUCUAACACCAUCUAAAUUCAUUUUCUCUAAAUUUUUAUAUGUUUCUCUCCCUUAAUCAAUGGUAACAAACCACACUUUAUUCUCUCAAGUGUAAAUUACACUUGAGAGAAUCCAUUCCCAACUAAAGAUACAUUUAAGGACCAAAAUGAGUAACAAAAGACUCGUUUAUGUAUUUUUGUUUUUAAUUUUGAUACAUUCAAAUACCAUUGUGACAACACAUCACACAUUUAAGAAUCAAAAUCACUGUUUACUCUUUUCUUUCUUUCCCCUGUUUUCUUGGAUUGUUUUCUGCAUAUUGUAUGUUGUUUGGUGUAUUUAUUUGUUCUGGUUAGGAUUAAUUUUAUGGUUAUUCAUAACGUGUUAGCAACACACCUUCUAACACAUUCUUCCAAACGCACACACUCUGAUUGGUCGAAAUUCAAACAAGUCUCACUAAAUUGUGUAGGUCUGACAUAAGUUUUGAUCUAUGAAUUUAGACAACCAACAACCAAGCCUUAUUCCACUAAAUCUGGUAUUCUAACUACUUCGGCCAUGUCCUUUGUUCUAUAUGAAUUUAGACCCUUGGGAAAAAAGUGUGAAAAAGAGAAUAUUAAACGGUGUAUAUUGCUAACAUUUCGCUUUCUCAAAUUCAAUCUAGUGUUACAAGCAUCUUUGGUCUUGUGUGAGUUGUAAAUAAUACCCAUUAGGCCAUAUAAUUUUACAAUGCACACGUAGUAACUUGCUUUAGUAAAAGGUUUUCAAGGGAUAAUAGCAGCAUCAAUGCCAACACAUGGUGUAAGUAAGAGUAUGGUAUGGUGGGCAUGCAGGGGAUCUGCUUUUACACUUUCUUGACAAAUCACACUUUAUUCUUUACCUUCUUUGUUCUUGUAAUUUGCGCAUUCAUAUGUCAGAGAAUGUUCUUUUGUAUUAUUAUAACUCAUCAGUCACUCAUCAUGAGUACUAAGUGGGAGAUGAUAAUGAGGGGAUGAUUAUUAUGAUGAUUAUGUACUAUUGAUUACUUUCAUGUUUUACUGAGCCAUGUUGGUUCAAAUUGGUACAUAUGAAUGAACCCAUUUGAUACUUUUAUAUUCUUUGUAUAUCUAUUCAUGUUAUUUUUUUCCUUUUAUCUUUGUACUUUAGGGGCUAUUGCUGCAUCUUCUAAUUAUAAGGUUAGAUUUCAAUGCACAAGUAUG
rnacentral:lncRNA from 1 species